rnacentral:rRNA from 1 species
AGAGUUUGAUCCUGGCUCAGAAUCAACGCUGGCGGCGUGCCUAACACAUGCAAGUCGCACGAGAAAGGGUAGCAAUACCUGAGUAAAGUGGCGCACGGGUGAGUAACACGUGACUAAUCUACCCUCGAGUGGGGAAUAACUGAGAGAAAUCUUAGCUAAUACCGCAUAACACUUACGAGUCAAAGCAGCAAUGCGCUUGGGGAGGAGGUCGCGGCCGAUUAGCUAGUUGGCGGGGUAAUGGCCCACCAAGGCGAUGAUCGGUAUCCGGCCUGAGAGGGCGCACGGACACACUGGAACUGAAACACGGUCCAGACUCCUACGGGAGGCAGCUGUGGGGAAUUUUGCGCAAUGGGGGAAACCCUGACGCAGCAACGCCGCGUGGAGGAUGAAAUAUCUUGGUAUGUAAACUCCUUUCGAUGGG